rnacentral:rRNA from 1 species
UUGACCUCAAAUCGGGUGAGACUACCCGCUGAACUUAAGCAUAUCAAUAAGCGGAGGAAAAGAAACUAACAAGGAUUCCCCUAGUAACUGCGAGUGAAGCGGGAAAAGCUCAAAUUUAAAAUCUGGUGGUCUUUGGCCAUCCGAGUUGUAAUUUAGAGAAGCGUCUUCCGCGCUGGACCGUGCACAAGUCUCCUGGAAUGGAGCGUCAUAGAGGGUGAGAAUCCCGUCUUUGGCACGGACACGCCAGGGCUUUUGUGAUGCGCUCUCGAAGAGUCGAGUUGUUUGGGAAUGCAGCUCAAAAUGGGUGGUGAACUCCAUCUAAAGCUAAAUAUUGGCGAGAGACCGAUAGCGAACAAGUACCGUGAGGGAAAGAUGAAAAGCACUUUGGAAAGAGAGUGAAACAGUACGUGAAAUUGUUGAAAGGGAAACGCUUGAAGUCAGUCGCGUCGACCGAGACUCAGCCUCGCCUUGGCUUGGUGUAAUUCUCGGCUGACGGGUCAGCAUCAAUUUUGCCUCUUGGAUAAUGGYGAGGGAAAUGUGACACCUUUACGGUGUGUUAUAGUCUCUUGUCGCAUGCAAGGGUUGGGAUUGAGGAACUCAGCACGCGCCUUCGGGUGUCGGGGUUAUGCCCACGAUACGUGCUUAGGAUGUUGGCGUAAUGGCUUUAAACGACCCGUC